AUUGAACGCUAGCGGGAUGCCUUACACAUGCAAGUCGAACGGAGUGGCGAACGGGUGCGUAAUGUAUCGGAACGUGCCCAGUAGCGGGGGAUAACUACGCGAAAGCGUAGCUAAUACCGCAUACUAUUGGAGCGGCCGCUGGGGGAUUAGCUAGUUGGGGGGGUAAAGGCUGACCACGGCGACGAUCCGUAGCGUGUUUGCGAGGACGAGCAGCCACACUGGGACUGAGACACGGCCCAGACGCCUACGGGAGGCAGCAGUGGGGAAUUUUGGACAAUGGGGGAAACCCUGAUCCAGCCAUCCAGCUUGUGCGAUGAAGGUCUUCGGGUUGUAAAGCACUUUUGGCAGGAAGGCGGUACCUGAAGAAUAAGCACCGGCUAACUACGUGCCAGCAGCCGCGGUAAUUC
rnacentral:rRNA from 1 species